rnacentral:misc_RNA from 1 species
GGGAACGAACAUGGCAUUUUGUUGAGGAAAGAUAAGCUCUUUACGAGACUUUACGUACCAUAGCCGUGGUUUGCAGUGCAUCAAGCGUCACUUUCCUGUGAUAAUUAACCAACGUGAAAAUGGGAAAUUCAGAUUUGGAAUGCAUUGAUCCAAAAACUGAUACAAUGGAUGAAUCGGACGCUGCGAUAUCGGGGGAAUUAAAAAAAAAGAAGAAGAGAAAGCACAAACACCACAAACACAGAAAAGACAAGGUGAUGGAAAAAGAAGAGAGAAUUGACAGGCAGGAAAGUAAAUUCUUUAGGAAGAAACAUAAAAAACAUAAACGUCCUAAAAAGGACAGAGACAACGAGCAUGACUCUGCGGAAGAAAAAGUACUGCCGGUUGAAGUUAAACCGUCUAACAUGUAUCAUAAUGCGACAACUAUUGGAGGAGCGAGUACCAAUGGCAAGAUGGCAACCUUUCAACUGGAGGUGGUGUCCUCCGAGGAAAGCGAGGACGAAAAACUGGUCGACUUAGAUUCGGACGAAGUAGACUGUACUAUUAUCGAAGAUGACAUCGACCUCGAAGAACUAAUGAAACAAAAGGAAAGAUUACAAGCCUGCCUGGUACAAUAUUUAUCCGACGACUCCGACAAAGGUGGUAAAUUACAUCUGCCAGAGGCGACGAGGGUCGAAGAAACUCCUGACGUGAUUCUAGUCGAAGACGAUAGCGAAGACGGUGUUAGCCAAAAGAAACGUGUCAAGAGUCGAUCGGAGAGUAGGGAUAGGAAACGGUUGUCCUCCACGAAGCUGGAAAGACGUGUGGUUGUUGAUAUGUCACGUGAUAGAAAGAGCCGCGAAGAGAUCAAGGACAAGAGACGAGAUCCAGAUAGAAAGCGGGAGGAAAAAGUUCCGAACAGAGAAGAAUCUAGAAGGGAUGACAAAACUUCCAGGAAGGUGGUCGAAAGAUCUAGAGAAGAUAUUCGACGAGAGGAAUCACGAAGAAGACUGGAGGACGAGCGGCGAAAGGACUCUCUCAAGAAAGAAGACGAUCGCAAAAGAGAUCAUGAACGAAGAGAGGAGGAGCGCAAACGGGAUUCUGAUCGUCAUGGCGCUAGACGAGACCCUUCUCCCAGUAACGGUUCGAAGUCUCGAGAUGUCAGGACAGAUUCUAGACAUCAGACGAUAAAAUCGAACAGUCACGAUACGUCGGGUGGGAGAGACCGAUUUUCAGGCCGAGAGAAAAAGGACAGUAGAGAACAACAGUCGAAUCGUGACCACCAAGGCGCUCGGGACAGACUCGGAAGCCGUGAAAGGAGAGACAGCAGAAACAGAGAAAGAAUCCGUGACAGAUCGAAGAGUAAUCGAAGGUCACGGAGUCCGAUGAGAAAUAGAACGGAUAGGGAACGUAUGGAUCGUCAUCGAAGGUCCAGAUCAGUCUCUCACAAUCGCAGAGACCGUGACAGACAUGGGAGAGAGUACGAAAGGGACAGGGACAAAAAUGGGAAAAGAGAUAAGAAUGACAAGUACAAAGACUCCCUGUCCGAAGGGCUCAAAGUAGAACACUCGGAAAGUUCAGGUGAAGAGGACAUAAAAGAUAUUGAUAUCGAAGAAGAAGAGGAUGAGGAAGCGAUCAUCGAGAGGCGAAGAAAGCAGAGAGAAGAACUUUUGAGGAGAUUAGGCGGACCAAACGAAGAUUCCAAUCUUUCGAUGGAAUUGAAUACAGUUGCCAGUUCGCCACCUUCGGACAACACGUCUGUGGAGUCGCAGAAAUCGGCGGAUGUUGUUUCGAAUAACAAUGAAUCAAAUUCGGAGAGUCACACUCCACCUUUACCAGAGAAACCAAAAUCACCUCAGCCCGCCAAGAAGAGAAAAUCUCGAUUUAAUACCAGCGAUGGUGAAAACAAAGAAAAGCAAGAAGAGAUCAAACCCUCUGAAAAAGUGAAAUCCGACGACAAACAAAAUCCCAAAAAGAGUAACGAGUGGGACAUGUUUGCGGAAGCUGACAAUAUUGGCGAUUUUAAUAGUCCCACGGUGGAAGGCAAGAGGCCUGGUGGACCUGAUAACCCAAGUUUAACGGAUAAUUGGGACGAUGCCGAAGGAUAUUACAGAGUACGGGUUGGAGAAACAUUGGACUCUCGAUAUGUGGUAUAUGGCUAUACAGGUCAAGGUGUAUUCAGUAACGUUGUUAGGGCGAGAGACUCUGCUAGGGGGAGCUUGGAUGUGGCCGUAAAAAUAAUCAGAAAUAACGAAAUAAUGCACAAGACGGGUCUCAAGGAACUAGAAAUUUUGAGAAAGCUAAACGACGCAGAUCCGGAAGACCGUUUCCACUGUCUACGUCUGUUCAGACACUUCUUCCAUAAGAAUCAUUUGUGCAUGGUCUUCGAGCCCUUGGCUAUGAACCUGCGAGAGGUUCUGAAAAAAUAUGGAAAGGACGUUGGUCUCCACGUAAAGGCGGUGAGAUCGUACACGCAACAGUUAUUCUUGGCUUUGAAACUGCUGAAACGUGCAAAUAUAUUGCACGCCGAUAUCAAGCCAGACAAUAUUCUAGUCAGCGAAAGCAAAUUGGUGCUAAAACUUUGCGAUUUCGGUUCAGCUUCACACGCGCACGAGAACGAAAUCACCCCUUAUCUCGUUUCGCGGUUUUACCGAGCACCAGAAAUAAUUCUUGGUAUACCCCAUGAUUUUGGCAUUGACAUGUGGUCCGUGGGGUGCACCAUAUACGAGCUGUACACAGGAAAAAUAAUGUUUUCGGGAAAAACGAAUAAUCAGAUGUUGAAGUUUUUUAUGGACCUGAAGGGAAAAAUGCCUAACAAACUGAUCAGGAAAGGCACCUUCAAGGAUCAACACUUCGAUGGAAACUGCAAUUUCCUCUACCACGAAGUCGACAAAGUUACGGAAAGGGAGAAGGUUGUAAUAAUGUCCACCCUUUCUGCGAGUCGUGAUCUCGGCAACGAGUUGGGUGGUAAUUCGUUGCCUGCGGAACAAAGCCGGAAAGUCGGCCAACUGAGAGAUCUAUUGGAACGGACUCUGAUGUUGGACGCAGGAAAACGCAUAACUGUGAACCACGCAUUGGCGCAUCCCUUUAUACAAGAGAAAAUCUAGAUGAGUCUUCAAUUCAAAAGCAGCAUUAAAUGCGGCGGACCUUUCAAGUGCCUUAAACGCUGUUCCCGUUGCAAGAGCCCUCCCUGAGCGGAGGGAAGGCAAUGGAAGGUGGUGAUGGAAUCUGGUCAAAUCUGCCAUCGUACCGCAUUCUGAUAACCGCAGCAACAGCGAUUGCUGUCCGAGUUGAAAUCGUCUCGAGGUAUAACUAACAUGACCCCCAACUCACAUUUAUCUAUAUCGAUCAAAUACUUUCGGAAGCACGUGAGUAUUCUGUUAUGCACAGGUGAGGUUUGCUGAGACGCAUUCGAGUCUGAAAAGGCAUUUUUAUUCAUUCUAAGUUUCAUUCCAUCCAACUGCAUUAGAAAUAUAUCAAAAAGGCGAGGCCAUGUCUUUUUGUGAGUUCAAUUUUUUCGUUUCAGAUACAAAAAAGAACCAGGCACUCCGAUGAUUUUCAUGACAAAAUUUACGGAGCUCUUUACUGUGCGCUGGAAUUUUGACACCGAUGGAAUUACAUCCAUUCGAGUGGCAAUCUAUCGAAAACAUUUGAGCCUAGAGGCUGGUACUAGAGUGCUUCUCGACAGCAUGAUCGAAAGGCCCAUUAUCUGUAUUUAUUAAUUUAUUAGUGCUGAAUAAUUGACAACGCAACUCUGAAUUUGUGAAGUAUCCGAGCGAAGAAUGAACUUGUGUGACAUUCUGCAGGCUUCUUAUUAGGAGACUUUGUGUCAAGCACAAUCCUCCAUGCAUAGCGACCGACUUCUUUGUUUGAAUUCCUUUAUCAUAGUCACGGAUAUUCAGGUCAUCUCGAUAGUUUCAUGUAAAGAUGUCGGUCCUAGUGCAGUGAAGUAGAAUACCGUUCU